GCCGGGCAUGGUGGCGGGUGCCUGUAAUCCCAGCUACUUGGGAGGCUGAGGCAGGAGAAUUGCUUGAACCCAGGAGGUGGAGGUUGCAGUGAGCUGAGAUCGCGCCACUGCACUCCAGCCUGGGUGACAAAGCAAGACCGUCUCAA
ensembl:misc_RNA Metazoa_SRP Metazoan signal recognition particle RNA